UGCUGUGAUGAAUCAACUCUGGAAUCUCGUUCGGCUGAAGGCUGAUGUUGAGGAUUCGGACUCUGAUGCUC
ensembl:snoRNA SNORD30 Small nucleolar RNA SNORD30